CCAAGUAAAUCGUAAAAUCACUGAAAGGUGAUGACACAAAGCUAUGGAUCUAAAACCGUUAAGCGGUCAUGAUUGCCAGGCCGCCUAA
rnacentral:ncRNA from 1 species